GGGGAUGUGGCUUAGUGGUAGAGUGCUUGCUUAGCAUGCAUGAAGCCCUGGGUUCAAUUCCUCAGUACCA
rnacentral:tRNA from 1 species